GUCACUCUAGCAGCAUGCCAGGUCCCCUUAGAUACUGAAAGACCACUGUCAGGUCUCUCUGGAGCCUUCUCUUCUCCAGGAUAAAAAGCCCCAGCUCUUUCAGCCUGUCAAAAUUGAAAAACUCAGAGUUAAUGGAAUCAGUGGGUGAAACUCUUCCCUUUUUCACCUCCUUCCACGACUGUCAAAAUGCAUGGAUUUUUAUAGGCCUUAUUCUCAUGCAAUGCCACAAAUCAUAUGCUUCAGCUUUGUGCAUGCCUAAGCAUAUAUAAUACUGAAGUCCAAAGAUGGUAAUAGAUUUUAGUUUUAUUCAAAACCAAAUAAUAGUGGGCAAAGUUACACUGUGAUUUAUUUUUCCUCAGAAGCCAGUACUCUAAUGCAUGGUUUCCUUCCUCCUGUUUCCUGCUUUUAGUAGCAAGAAGAAUUGUUAUUUGGCAAAUAACAUUUUCUGCUCUACCCUGUGCUAAACUGACAAAUGUAGAAAGAGAGUGAAAACAGCAAAGAAGUGCAGUGAUAAUACAGCCAUUCCCUACUUUUCUAAAGAACCACACAAAUAUGAAUGAGUCAUGUAAUAUAACAUAGGGUUACCUUUUACAGUACCAACGUUAUAAAGAGAAAUAAAAGCAUAUAGAUCUUUGGAAAAUGAGUUUUGCUUUCCAUUCUGCUGUUCCAAAAACACUGUAUUAUACACAACAAAGCUAGUAACUACUGAAAAUAUAUAGAAAGAAGGAAAGCCUUAUUUUCCAUACCAGGGACAGCAGAAAUCAUUAUCUAACAUUGCUGUAAAGAGUAUUUAAACAUUGUCUGACCAACAAGCUUUUUGCUUUGAGUUUCUUUUCUCAUGGAAGCAUUCAAGUCUGAGCUCUGAUGCAUCUGCAUACAACUGCAGGACACUUUUUGUUCACAUAAAAUUGCAGUAAAGCGGUGUUUUAAUCUGAGAGAUUAUCAUGGAAGAACGCCUCAUGCUGCUAAGCCUUCCUCUCCCUCAAGUAUUUUAAGUCAAAAUGCCAAGAUGAGAAAUUGUGUUUGCUCAACACCGGUCAAGUUGCCAGUAGCUGCUUUGAGUGGAAAUCAAGUGAUGCAAAGAACCUUAACUGAGGCAAAUCCCAUUCCGAGUGAGGGACUGGUACACUGUUGCUGAGUCCCUGUCUAAUUAGCUCCAGCAGCCUCCGUGCCCGUGCUUCAAUUAGUACACGGUAAUUGUAAUUUCACUCUAACCUUAUUUUUGAUCUCACAUAAUGCCUCAGGUUGGAUAAACUUUUUUCCUCCUGUCAGUGGGGAGUUGGAAGCAGUGAGUUAGAAGGGCCCCCCAGACCUCGCCAGGCAGCUGCUGUUCCUGCUAUGUAGAAAUGAAUGCUUCACCCUUCAGCUACAGCUAAAUUAGAAAUCUUUGAGCUCCUAAUCAUUUCCGAUAGUUUGGCCUAAUUGAAUCUAAGUGCUUUUGCAUUCAAACUAGAAUGCUCAGCUGGGCUGAAGCUGGAGAGCUGUGACUCUGUUGUGCAGCCCUGGCAGCACCAGCCCUCCCCAGCACCAACAGGUGCCUCCACGUGGGUUUGGGGAGUGUGACUCAGGAGUCAGCAGGGUGAGAGCUGUGCUGAGGUCAUGACAGCACUCAGCCAAAGCUGCCCAGGUUCUCCCAUCUGGGUCUGCCGGAGGAGUUGCUGCUGUCUUUUCCCUAAAUAUAGCAAAGCCAUUGGCGAAAUACCAUUACUUUCCCUAAUAAAUCCUCAUCUUACAGGCUUCUGUAGUAGGGCAACACAUGCCAUUCAGGAUUGAUUCAUACUCAGUCUUUUUUAAUUAUUAUUAUUAUUUUUUACGAAUUCUGCUGUUCUCUCUAACGUUCAGGCAGGAAGAAGCGACGUUUGCAUCACAUCUCUAUUCAGAAACCUCUUCUAAGAACACCACACAACUGCUGCUCUGUGUAGCAUCUGCUACUGAUCUAUUAAUAAUCACAAUAGUAGCAUUAGUAUUACUAUCAAGCACAAAAACAGAAUACGAACCCAUAAUCUUAUCCCCAAGCUAAGAAUGAUAUGAUUGAUGGUAUGGAUAAUAUCUAAUAAUCAUCUGGCGGCUAAAAUUAUAUCCCAACAAACUAAAUAGACUUGUUCCUUUUAUUUCAGAGACUAAGUCUAAUUAGGAGCAGUCCUGAUGAAUCUAGGAGGUUGAAAGGGUUGUCGUGCACUCCAAGUAAAUCAGGCUCUGGGGCUCUAACAUUUAAAACUCACAAUUUCCGACUUUCUAAACUACACUCCCAAAGCAAAUAUCAUUGCAAUACAGGAACAGGAAAGCCAUUUAGAAAAGAAGAGUUAUUUUCAUCAGAAUGAAAAACACACUCUUAGAAUCAUUGCGUUUAAUCCUAUGCUCCAUUAGCAGGAAAAUUUUCCAUUGAAGUCAGCGCGGAUCUUGCUUUCAUAAGAGAAUUGUGUAUUCUGCAGCAACAUCUCAUGUGGCUAUCAGUAAAAUCAGUGGGACGCUUGCUUCUGAAGGUAAUGGUAGUAAAAUGAAUGAAAUGCUCUGCGGUGUUUCAUAAUAUGCCAUAGCAGCAGCAAAAGAACUGUUGAUCUCGGAAAUUGUGGAGGUGCACAUCCAAGGAUGGACUUGCUUCUGGUAAAGAAAUGCAUAAGGGUGGGCCUGAAAUUUAAAAGAACCCUUCAGAGUGACCCACACAGCAACACGGGAGGAAUGUAGACCUCCACACCUUAUGUGUUCAUAAUAAUUCCCCUGAGGACAAAUCACCUGAUCCACACUAUGACUUCAGUGCUGCAGGUAACAUUCAGUGCAGCAUCUCAUUUUUGCUAUUUCUAACUUUCCUUAUGCCUUUCCUAAAACUCCCUUUUUCUUCCCCAGAAAUUUCUCAAAAACUGCUGAUGCCUUUUUUUUUUUUCCCCCUAAAUGAAAGCAGUUGUUUCAUUUGACCAGGCAGCAAUAGUCUUUUGAUUUUUAAUUUGCCAGGAAGCCAGAGAAUCUUCCAUUUGAUCCAAAGAGAUUCAUUUGCUUUUUCCUUCUUUGAACUCUUUCAUCCAUGCUCAGCAAAGCUCAUAGAUGACCUUCUGAAAUGCAAGUCUGUUUUGGCAAUUAGAAACAGCAUGUAGCCUAACAAACUCUCUUCAGUCCUCAUGGCGCAGUAUGUAGAACUGCUGUGCUAUCUUGUAUAACACCCCAGAGCUCUCCAACAGAUAUUCACAACGUGCACGUGAAGAAGGGUGCUGCACAAUUCUCACCAGCUCUUCUGCAUGAACUUACAAUAUUGCCUUUGGACUUAUGCCAGGGAAACAAUUUAACUUCUCACAGCGUUCUUUUCGGCACAGUCAGUACUCAAAUAAUUGAGAACAACAGCCUGCAAAUCUAUUGAUUUAGAAGAAAUAAAUGAGAAAUUAAUUCAUAGAAUUAACACGUGUUGCCCCAAUAUUGCUUUUAACCAGUUUAAGCACAAAGUACCUCCAGUUCCAAUUUUAUGCAAAAAAAAAAAUGCAUAAUUUUUAUCUGAGCAGAUACUGAAGCAUUAGAGUUUUCCAUGAAUAACUGUCAGAAUGACCUAUCAGUUGCUCAUGGUUUGUUGCAGACGCUCACAAAUGCCUAUAAAUGUUAAUAUAUUAUUGGGUGGCCUUGUAAAAAUGAUCAGCGAUGCAAAAAGGAAAAGGUAUUAUUACAAAUAAAUGUUGACAAUUUAUUCUUCAGUUCAAAGUGUCACUUACCAGUAAAGGUUCCACCAUGCAAAAGGCUGAAGGCAUAAUAAUUCAUCAGCUGAAUAACAACUGAACACUGUAACAAUAAAAAUUGCUUUCAGGUUUCCACAUAGUCUCCAAAUAGUUCUGUUUUUCCCUGGUUGCUGAAAUCCCAACAGGUUUAUUGCCUGACCCUGCAGUACUUGGUAGCACUUACGCUGGACUUGACAUUGAGUCCACACCUGGCCUCUCACAUUAACAGCAGACCUUUUGGGGACUUUUAGCAUGGUUUUAGCCCCACACAAGUGCCCCAGCAGUUCACAGGCAAGGUUCAAGUGCUGGCACUGGCCAAGGGUGGUUGCACACAUACGCACCCUGCUCAAGCUUAGAUAACCCAGAUAAGGCAGUGGAGUUACACUGACUUUCACAUCAAUCAAUUGUCUGUGGAUGAACAACUUACACAGAGAUUAAAAACAAAUCUAGUCUUUACAAUUCAGUUGAUUUGGUUCGGUGAUUGUACGACUUCACAGUUGUAUUAAUUUCCUUUCUUAGUCAGUUAUUACAGCACUCACUGAUCUUAGACCCUUGGUAGAAGAAAAGCAGGUAAAAAAAUCAGUGUGCCAUAAAUCAUCUUUUCUUUGAGAUGCAUGAAAAACUGUACGUUUAAAUUCCUAUUCACACUUUUCAUCUGCUGUUCUUCUGUUGCAGCCCUGCCCCAAAAGACCCUGGUAUCACACAGGAGAUGCAUAGACCAGGCAGCCAAUACAUAGAAUCAUAGAAUCACCGAGGUUGGAAGAGACCCACAUGAUCACCCAGUCCAACCAUUCACCCAUCACCAACAGUUCUCAUUAAACCAUGUCCUUCAACACAACGUCCAAACAUUCCUUGAACACAUCUGGGGUUGGCAACUCCACCACCUCCCUGGGCAGCCCAUUCCAGUGCCUAUAUACAAACAGCAUAGUGAAAAAAACAAACAAACAAACACAGAGAGGAGAUGAUAGAUAGAAUUUGGGCAUGGAAGAGGCUUGAAGGGGAAAGCACAUUAAAAGCAUGGAAUAAAACACAGUAAAAAUCUGCUACAGUGAAGCAAAAUCUAUGGUAGGAAUCACAUGAAAUGAAUUCUGCGUUAUCUGAUAUCUGAUUUUAUUCUAAGCCAUAUGAGACUGUAGCCAGGGCACCAAAUCAGCAUCUUAAUGCACUAACUUUCCCACAAAAACUUCUCCCCAUCUCCCACCUGAGGAGGCACCUCUCAGGGUGAGCAGGACAAGAGCUCCCAGGGUCUUGUGGAAUGCAUGGGCUAAGGGAGAGGGAUCAGACUGACCACGAUCCCUCACAGACCCUCUGCUGCUGGAGUGAUCUGCAGAAUCACAGAAUUAUAGGGGUUGGAAGGGACCUCCAGAGAUCAUCAAGUUCAAUCCCCCAGCUACAGCAGGUUCCCUACAGAAGGUCACACAGGUAGGCAUCCAGACAGGUCUUCAAGAUCUCCAGAGAAUGAAACUCCACAGCCUCUCUGGGUAGCCUGUUCCAGUGCUCAUUCAGGGGGUGGAACGACUGAGAAGUAAAUCUCAGCCAAUUUUACUCACCAUGUCUUCUCUGAAGACGUCUCAUAACUUUUCCCCAGUGAAUAGAGUCUUCUUUCCCCCUUCCCUCCUCAGUUACACCCAGGUCAAAGUCAGCCACCUAUAAGUCGUGCUGUUCUUCCACGUGCACGUGGCAGCCCAAUGUAGGCAUCAGCAGCAUGGUUCAUCAGAACAGAUGUGGACAUCUGAACUAUCUGUCUAGACUCCAUUUAUCAUUUACUGAAGCAGGAACUCGUGCCAGGCGACUUGUCUCAUGCUGAAGUUGCUCUCUGAAAUGAAUUGUAUGUUUAUUUAUUUAUGGAUUAUAUUGUGCCUACUGCCCUCCAUUAAUUGCAAAGGCAGUUUGGAUGUGCUUCGGACAGGGUCACCACACUAUAGGUGCCUGAGGUUAAUGAGGUGAAUCUCAGCCUUUGCUGCUCAGUGAGUACAAAAUAAUGUCCUUGUGCAAGAUGUGCUGCAGCUAAAUAAAUCUAAACAAGGUUAUAUUUAGAAAAGCAUUAUAUUUCACAGAGAAUGUUUCCGUUUUCAGAUAACCUAGCAAACACCACUGAGUGAAUCAAUGGCAUUUGUAUUAUCACCUGAAGUAGCUAUUUGGCAAAACAGAGCACUAAAAGUUACAUACACUUUGUGCAAUUACUUUGCAGUUUAACCAUCAGUGUCCUCAGGAAAUGCUGUCAGUCCCUUUGGGCCAAUAGGCACCCCUUACAGAUCCAAUGUGCCAUGCUUAUAUUGCAAACUGAAAAAUUUUAUCAUUGCUUUAAAUGUUUACUGGUUUAAUCUCCUAAAAGUAGAUCUCAGUUCAGCUCUAACAGACUUUUAAUCAGCUUCGUUUCUGUGUUUCCAGUGCUAUCUUUGCACUCAGAAAUGCUUGCCAUACUGAGACACUGCGGUGAUGGAAGUUGCAGGCCUGAAAUAAGAACAGCAACCUGCGUGAUUGGUCGCCAAGCCUUUUACCUGACAGACUGUAGGCAAAACCCCUUUUCUUGCUCACUGUUUGGUUCUGCUGCGUGGGAAGUGCAGGACAGUUAAAAAGUGGCAUACUAAUACAAGCAGCUGUCAGCGGCUCACAGGCUGACAGCUGCCCUAUUCUUGGGAUUGGCCAUAUCUCCUUGCAAGCAAAAAGCUCGUAGUUGUUGCAAUGCUCGUAGGCCUGUCCUUCCUCACAACGCUUCUGCCUGGGAGGACUCAGUCAAGCAGACAAGCCCAGCCCAAGUGCCAAGGAAGAAUCAGUCAUGAGCAGAAGGGCUCUGGGUGAUUCCCACCCUCCACUGUUUUCUUCACCACAUUAAAGUCCAAGCGUGACUAUAUCUGUCAUUUUUAAGUUUCCCAGAAAAGCAGUACAAAUUUAUAGAGACACAUAAGGAACGCCUUAAGACCAAAGUGUUAUUUAUCCACUUCCAGGUACAAGCCCGAACGUUUGACAGGGAUGUGAAAAAUUCCCUACUGGCUCACACCAGUGGUCCAUCCAGCCUGGCCUUCUGACUUCAAUAGCAGCAGUGGGAUGUGUGAUUCAGAAACGAAUGUGAUUCUACAGUGUUUUACAGUCCAUACCCUCACACACACAGAUCCCCAGAAUUGAAUCAGUUCGUCAGGAAGUUGGGAGAUACUUCUUUGCCCAUUGCCUUUCGUACGGGCCUGUUGCCCGGGAAUAUGACCAACUUAUUUUUGGACUUGAUGACAACCUGCAGUGGCAAUGAAUUCUAUGAGCCUACUUUCUGCUGCACAAAGAACUACUUUCUUUUAUCUACUUUAAGUCAACGUCAUGCUACUUUCAAAUGAGUACCAUAGUACUAGUAUUAAGGGAUUUGCUUGGUAAUAAUUCUGAAUUCACCCUAAUCACUGCUUGCAUGAUUUUGUAAACAAUGCAUUGCCCUUAAACUCUUCCUCCUAACAAUGAAAAAUUCUAGCCUUCUUAAUUUGUCUUUGCCAGACAGCUGCACCAUUCUCUGUCUUGUUUUAUCUGCACUUUCCUGGGCUUCUUCUAGGUCUACUAUGUCCAUCUUGUGAUGGAGACCCGUGCUGUCAGUAUUAUUCAAGGGGACAAGCCAAAGUUCUCUACAGAAGUAAAAUGAUGUCCUGUCUUCUACCCUCAAUACCUUUCCUGGCAAUGCCUAUUAUUUUGCUGGCAUUUAUGGUUGCUACUGUAGGUUCCUCCAGUGACUUCAGAGCACAGUCUUUUGUGAAUCCAAUAUUUUAUUCCUGAGCUGCAAUUGACAGAUCAAAUAAAGCAUCACACAGGCACAGUCUAGAUUACUUUUCUCUAAGAUAUAUUAUGUUCUAUUUCUUAACACUGAAGCUUAUCUGCUCCUCUUUAACUUAGUUUUAUGAGGUCUUCCUUGAGUCCCUCACCACUGACCUAACAUUUUCUUCCCAAGUUUCACCUACAAAUAGAGACAUUCUGCAGUGCACUCCUCUUUCCUGAGCACCAAUGAAGAUGCUGUGGAGAACUGGUCCCACCACUGACUCCUGGGGGACCCCUCUGCUGACUCCAUACUGAAAAGUAACAUUCAAGCCAUCUUCAUUUCCUUAUGUGUUUGAGGAUCUUUGCCCAGAUUACAGUCUGUAUAAUGAUCGGUCCCCUAGAACUGUAGAGUCGUAGAAUGGCUUGAGUUGAAAGGGACCUUAGAGAUCAUUCAGGUCCAACCCCCCUGCCACAGGCAGGGUUGCCAUCCACCAGAUCAGGCUGCCCAGGACUCCAUCCAACAUGGUCUUGAACAUCUCCUUGGAUGAGCAUCUUACUUGCUCUGUUAAACUUUGUUGUGAGACCUUGUCAAACCCUUUCUGAAGAUCUAGGUAUAGUGUGUGCUAUAGAUACCCCUUAUCCAUAUGUCAACACCUUCACAACAGUCCAGAAAGUGCAGGACUCCCCUUUGCUGGAGACAUGUUGACCCUUUGUGUUAAUCCACAUCCCCAAGGAUCCUGUUCUUCCUUAUAGCCUUUGCCACCUGGCCAGAAGGGAAGACACGUCCCCUCUGGGUCCCUUUCCUACAUGGAGCCAUGCAGGCCCGGCAGUGCUGGGGAUCUGGAGGUGCUGCUGAGGAUCAUUCAGGUCUGCAGGUACACAGCUGAACUCCUUCCAACUGUGGUAACACCGCACCUACUGGCUUACCAUCACCUCAUCUCUCUGCUUACGCUAAUACAGCUUGUGUGCUUGCUUCAAAGCAGUGAUAAACCUGCUAGAAUGAAUGGCCCAGCUUGGGCAAUACUUCUGCUGUUCUCUUUGAGUUUAUCUCCUGCAGUCUCAGCAUCCUUGAGUGCCUUUACCACACCUCGAUCAACAAGUUGGCCCAUCACCUCCCUCACCGGCUUCCUGUUUUUGCUUAUAUUUAAGUAUCUCAUCAGCAGCUUGAAUGCAAGGCACUCUUCAUAUUGGUUCGAGCUUUUCUUAUUUCCUGCUUUCACCUUACCUGUCAUGUUUAUAGGCUUCAGUUUCAUUGCAAGCUUUCAACUUUUUAAAUGCUGAUAUUUUCCUGUGGUGGCCUUCUUGCCCUUUCCACCGAGCUGUGUGGGGAUUUUAUUGGCGUGCUGUUUCCUUUUAGAAUUGAGGCAGUUUGCCAGAGCUUCUAACACAGUAUCUGUAAAAAUAUCAGUACAAUAAUACUACCGUGUGAGUCCUGGAAGAACUUUAUUGUAUUUAAAACAAGAAACGUGUCCAGAUACAUUUCCUGUUCUCUGACCUCCAGUCCCGCAACACAACCUUGAACACAGAGCAACUGACUCAGCUGCUCUCUCUCCACACGGGGAAGAACUGCCUGCCUGCUGCUCACUGCAUCUCUCUAUUUCCUUACAUACCUGUCAGCACCCACAGCUCUCUUUCCAGACUAUCUUCCUUUGGCUUAUAUUUAGACUUUGAAGAGUGGAUGGUUCUUAAUCUGACAGCUAUCAGAGAAGGUAGAACCUCUGACAAAUAGUAUCCUCGUUGCAUUUUCCAGGAUUUUUGUUGCUUUGCUUUUCUGCCCCUGUUACAUCUUCCAUUUGAUGUAACUCUCUGUGCCGAGGCAAAGUAAUUCUCCAUCAGCAAUGUGAGUAUGGAAUUUAUUUAAAACAUUAUAUAUGAUUUCCUGAUUUGUUAUAGGCUGUAAAUCUGGUGCUGUCCUACACUGCAUUCUUCAGUUCUUGUUUACUGAAAGAGCAUGGUUACUGUGAGUAUUCCAGCUUUCACUGCAAAAAGUGGGAAUUUCUACCUCUCCUUGUUACAAAGCAAAGCUUGAAAACAUGAUGUUGGCAAACUUAAACUCCUGAAAAUCUGGGAUUGAUGUAAUAUAAGAGAUGGGCUCAUGAUUUUUGUGAUUACACAUCACUUGAAGGGGGGGGGGGGGGGAGGGGGGCAUUAAUUAUUUCUGACUGUUUGCAGGUGCAAAGUUUCCUCUUUGGGAAUGCUUUGUCAGUGAUGUCCUCAGACUGAUAAUAACAUCAUUUUGCUAUUAGCAUGUGUGAAUAUGAGCAGUCCUAUGGUCUAAUACAUUUCCUCUCCAGAUUUGGACUCUGAUCUUGCAAGCUGUAUGUUUUACCUGUGAAAAGUACUGCAGUGUUGACUAGUGUGCACAGGCAAGAAGCUCAUUUUACUCAUUACAAAAUCUGCUUUCAUAGAAAUCACAGUAUGUCCAAAUGCCACGUUAUUAGCAGAAGAGGAUAUCAUGAUACAGAUUUCCCACCUGCUAACUGUUCUUUACUCCAAAAAGUCAAAGUAUGCACAACUUUCCUCGCCCUCCAUCUUGACGACCCACAGACACCGGCGUAGAAAUGAAAGGACGCCUCGAGCAGAAAAUCUGAAAGGCUGAUGCCUUUCCGUCGGUCCCGUUAGGUGGAGCUCUCAGACAAGGAGAAAUGACAUCCCACCAGGCACCCUGAGGAGUCGUUAGCACUGUAUUAUUCAGGUAUUUAUUUAUUUUUUUCCAUGCCGAGAGCUUUCUCAUUUUGAAAAAGCUCAUUUCUGUCCUGCUAGAAACCUUACUGCAUGCUUUUAAAACCAGUGCGAUGCAGCAGCCCUGUCUGUACAACCUGUUUUCGUUAGCUUAACACAUCACUGAGAUGGAGCUGAAAACUUCAGAGAUGCUGUGUCACUGGGACAACAUCAGCAACGCGAAAGUCAGAGGAAUAGUUAUGGAAUUAAAGAAGCAGAGCAGAUAAAAACACUGGGUGCGGCACACAGAAGUCAGACAUUUCCAGCAAGAGCUCAGUUCUGUCCGUGGUAGUCAUCCACUGACAGCAAUGGUGCAGGGUUCAGUGGAAAAAUUAGCCAUGCAAACACAAAGGUGUAGUACAAAUUGAAACAGCGAAUCGUUUGCUAUGUGACUUUCUGCCACUUUCAGAUUGUAGUUGCUCUCUUAUCUUGAUUUUGUACCUGACAUAAAUUCCUACAAGGUACGGGGGUAGCCCUCCCUACUCCCACACAAGGAGAACAAAGGUAACCCUACACAGGUAUGAGACAGAAAAGUGAGUCCUACCAAAAAGUCGUGCAUUUUUCAAGGGUAUUGGCUCUCUUGCCAAAUGUUUGCUACGUGCAAUCGCUAAGCAAUGUCAAUAUUUUUGCUACAAAAGUGGGGGUAGUUGGAAAGAUAGGAAAGAGGAAGGAGAAGAUAAAGAACUGACAGAAAUUAGCAGAGAUCAUCCAGAUACAUAUGGAAGGAAAGAUUCAAACCAGUCUCUGCUCGACUCUACACCUUUUCUAAGAGAGACAAUUGAUUUAAUUUAAUCACUUCAACCAUGAUGAAAAUCUGCUAGCUUUAUCCUUUAUUAGGGCAGACAUGACACUCCUGUAAUAGAUUAUUUCAGUAAAGCUUAGCACAUCUCCUGCAUUUAUCCUUGAUACAAAAACAGAGUAAUUUCAUGAUCAGUACAGCACAAUGCUGUGAAGUGUUUCUGAAUAAAUGGUUGGUGUGUUUGAAUAUAGCCUGUCUAGCUCCAGUUUUGCAACAAAAACAAGUGCAGAUGCUUGAACAGCCUGAAAGCCUGCUCCAUUGUCAGACUUCUGAAAACCUGUACUCUUUUUCACACAAAGGAAACACCGUUUAGACUUCAUGCUAAAAUAAAUAAUACGCAGUGGCAGUGAGACCUGAGAACCAGCAGAUUCAUUUCUGUGUUGAAAUCAGUUGGCCAUAUUACUUGACAGACUCUGACUUUAUCCGGAUGCGCUUUCCCGAUGUAAGAAGACUUGCCCUACCAGUAAGGACUGGUGUGCUGUAAGAAGAGUCGCUCCCCAGCACUGGAGCUCUCUCCCUCACAUCCAUGUUCUUUGGCUCUAUGCAUUUCCCCAGAUAGAUAGACUUAAUUCUUGUCUCCAGUAAUUCAUUGAAAACUUGAUGCUAACGUAAGAAAGGUGUCACAGGUGAUCUUUCCUUCUUGACGUGAUAUCAUGAGCCAGGAUUGUUUUGGCUGCACUGGGCAACACAUACCAAUCGCAGUGGCUGUAGUUUCCACCAACCAGUUCAGGUGCAGGCACAAAAAGCCAGAGCUUCAGGAGCAUUUCUAAUUCUUCACUUCCCCUCUCCUGCCUUUGGGAUGGCCUUAAUGUCUGCAGGGUGUACAGACGGUUUUCCCUUCAAGCUCUCCUCUGUGGUCUGUUCAGCUUUCAAAUGACAGUGUGUAUCUGUGGUACUGAUAUGCUCUGUUCUCUGUCAUGACUUCUGCUUACCCUGAGACCCCUGACUGCAACAGAGGGAGUUCCUAUAGUCCCCGUUUCAUGGCUUCAGGCUAAGAGACUUCUUUAGCACUAUCCAGGUAACCUGUGACAGAUCAGGAGACUAAAUCUGAUUCCAGUCCAGAGCUCCAACCAUUGAACGUACUAUGCUGCAUUACACAAAUAGAUGAGUGUGGGUCCUAUUUAAGAAGAAAAAAGGGGAUGAAGGUUAUGGUAGCCUUACCCCAUUUGCCCAGGUUUCAAAGACAAGCAAGAAAAAGGGUCAAGACAGUGGAAGCUUGAAGCAUUUGAUGCCUCAUGGUGAGCCCCUGAUAAGUCCUGCAGGCAGACAAGGCAGCUGGUAAGGCACAUUAAGCAAAGCAUCACAGAAGCGUCACUCUAAUUUUCCCAGUGUAAACAAAAAAGCUCUCUCCAAAUGUGAAAUUUCUGCAUCGAGAACUUCAGUUUUUAAGAGUGUUUUUCUUUGGAUUUUUUUUUUUUCUGUCAGAAAAUUCUUAGUUAUGCACUACAUGCCCCCCUAAUUCCCACUCCAGCUUCCCACUGUCCAUGCCUCUGAAUGAGCGAGAACAGUCUGUCAUCCAUGAUUCAAUAUUUCAGGAAAGCUGAGAGUGGUUAUAAGACAGAAAAUCAAUCUUAACUAGUGAGAUUUCCAUAAAGUUCAAUUAAAAGUGUCAAGCUAUUGUGACUAGAUUUGUCAAACCGUGGGUGACGAUCUUUGCAGUGCAGCACCGUUCUUGUCUGGAGAGGAAUGCAAGAGGGGAUCCCGGUUCCCAGACUGCUGCAGGCACACCACAUUUCUGGAUACAUCUCUGCCCCUUAAUCCUGCAUCCAGAACUGAGCAGCCUCCUGGAAAGGGAGAGUUUGAGGAGAAAGCCAAUGCAAAUGCUUGUGGCUCAGAAGGAAACUGGUAUGAACUUGAUAAGGAAAAUAAUAGCAUUCACACAACAACAGUCGAGAUCUGUUACUGAUUGUGCUGCACCACUCCUUUUCUUUCAUUCAUAUGAUUCAGAACUGGUGCUUUGAAGAGAAUAUAAAUACAUUCCUCUUGACUUCUUUGUCUGUCCUUUUGGAGAAGUGCUAAGCGCUGGUUCUGUGUAUCCCAGUAUGGUUUCUUUUUUAAUAUCUAUUUCAGAAAACACACCCCUACUGCAGCACAGUGCAGCCUAUAGCAAUGAAGAGGAAUAAUAACAAAAUCCUCAAAGACAGAUCAGGCAUUCUGUAUGCCGUACUUCGGUCAAACUCGAAUCUGAAGUGCUUCUAUAAAUCAUCAAAACCACAUUUUCUCCCUCUCUUGCAAUAGGUUAUGUGACAUUACAAAUUCCUGCUGGUAAUUAUGUAGGAAUACGCUCAGUUGGCUGAAUUCAUUAUACUUCUUAAAGUAGCACUCGUAUUUGCUCUGCAUAACUGCAGUCUCCCAUUCAUUUAGUAACAGUCUCCUCCUAUUAGCCAUCUCAUUUUAACAGUGGGUGUGGACAGCUCCGGAAGGUGGGUGCUUGGUGAUAGCUGCACCAUGUGGUGACAGUGGAGGCUCUCAGCCAAGUGACCUGCUCAAAACCUGGCAAUGCCACACAUUCCCUUAAGCGAGUGCUUCUGCCAUGACCAGAAGCAAUGGGGGCCCUGAGAAAAGACCACAAACGCCCUUCUACAGCACAAGGCAGGACUAAUAGUGUAUGGUCAGCAUCAACAGAACCGCAGGGCCUACUACAACAGGUAAUUAUCUGAUUCAUGGAGUUAAUUUCUUUUGGCUUGUCACUAUGACUUCCUACUGCACAGAAAGAGGAGAGAGAGUCAAAGAUAAACAUGUGCCUCUUACAAAAUGAAGAAUUCUAUAGGAGAAAGCCCAAAUACAAUUAAAAGAUAGCAGUAUGUAACAAUUAACCACGUCCAGCCUUUCCUCAUCAUUAGCAAAAUAUAGAUGGAAGACAGACCUAGCUCGCUCACAGCAGAAUAUAUUUGGCAUCACCUUUAAACUAUACACACAACAUAGCCUUCUAUUGAUCCCAUUGAUCUCUUUCACCUUAUAUAUCAGUUAUCAUUUUUUGAAAGGAUAUUUUUCUGUUGCUUAAAUAACAGCUUGAUUGCUGGAGCCAAUUUCCACCACAACAAAACUGUUUACCUCACUGUAUGAGUGAGUGGGGCUGUUAGUCCUGAAGGCUUGUUGUGUAGAUGCUGGCUAGAGAAAAAAUGAUUUCAGGUUGAGUGGAGCCCGUUCUAACCUCCAAUAUGCAAAUCUUUACUUCCUUGUUGGUUCUCUAAAGGUGCAGAAAAGAAGAGAAAGCUUCCUCCCCCAGCUCUGAUAUUGAAUUCACCUCUGAUUUUGAUUCCCAAUGAAGAUUUUUUUUCUUUCCAAAUGUGUGGCAUAAAGUAAAAUCUUGUACUUCUGUGCACAUAAAAAAUCCAUAAUGCAGGGUAUUGGUAGAAUGCUUGGGAACCACAACCAGAAUGAGUUAGAUUAGGUAGGAAGAGACGGAAAGGGAGGGAAAGGAAAGGGAAGAGAAAGGUCAUUGUAAUUGAUUAACUCAAGUCUCUCUUGUUGUACUAAAGGAGGAAGGACUGAUGAGCAUAUUUGAAAGGACUCAAAGAGAAAGCUCCUUAUUUAUGGAAUCCACCACUGUAGCAGUCAGAGGGAGAGGUCAUGAAAAUAUUGCUCUUUCAAAAUCCAAUGGAACCGUAGCUGAGCCAUAAUAAGUACCGGUGCAGAUGGGCAUAUGCCUAACAUAAGCUCUCCUCUGUCCUCUGAUCUGAAAGAUAAGCACUAAAAGUGCUAAUGGAAGGUUAGGCUGGAAAUACCUCCUCUCACCCUCCUUUUCUCUAACUUGCUUGCUGAGUUUAUUCCGUGUUUUCAAAUUCCUACAGAUAAAAUUGAAGAACAAAAAUGCAGCUGGGGUUCAUGCAAGUGGCAAUUUGAAGAGUACCUUUAUUCUCAAACAGCUUGACUUCUCUUGUCGGGGAGAGUAUCUGUCAAACCACACGUUUCUCCUUCCUGAGCUCAAAUAACAGGUGGCUGAAAUCUGAAAAGGGCUGAUUUUCAAGAACGUGUUGUAUUUAGCAAGUUAUAUUUACAACCAAAUAGCAAUGCAAUCAUGUCUACUCGCUGCUCCUCUGGGACAGAAUUAAGAAAUAUCACCCAAAUGUGAACAGCAGAUCCGUGAUACAGGCAGGAGUGGGACUGGUCCUUCUCAAGUCACAACUCCACUGUUUAACUACAGGGCCAUAAAACUUCCUUUCCUAGUCUGCUAGCAAUGCCACGAUCCACUCAGACAAAGAGUGAUAUCAAGAAUAAGUCCAUCUGGCAUCAGCCACAGCCCAUAUGAGAUGAAGAUCAACAGCCUGGGAAGAGGAGUGAACUCAGUGCCUAGGGCUGGGCAGUGCUAGCACAAGCUGUCUUCCCCCUUUGCUGAGGGGGGCUGUCAGGUUUGGAUCAGCAGCAACACAAGGGCAGCCCCAGAAGUCAUUGCCUGUGUCAUAAACCAGAUGCCCCAGGGGAUUCUGAAUAACCCUACAGGCAAACAGAAUGGGCCAUCAUCCUCUUUUGUCAUGAAAAGGUAGGAGAUUCACUUCUGCAGCUUCAAGAGAAAUUGGGAAAGUAUGGCUACUUGAUUUUCAGCCCUGAUUUGUGCCUUCAAUUUGAUAAAGAUCCAUUCUUACAUGCUUGAGUCAUUUUAGCUACUUUUUCUUGCUUUUUUUCCCCUGUACACUCAGACCUGAAAACUGGAACUCCAGCAUCCCAGGAGGGUACCACUGACGUAAUGUAGCAUGACAAUACAUAACUCCCAUUGGCUUCCUGCGUUGGUGCUCACAAGUGUUCUACGCAGAAAGUCUUUUCUUCAGAACUGUGUUGUGCUGAGGACUGAAUUAAUCUGUUAUUUAAUGUGGCUACUGAGCUUUAUGUUCUGCAAAUUACCAUUACUUGAUAUUUCUUCUUGCUGUGAAUUUUUUUGUCGAGUUUGGACUUGGUGAUCCUUAUGGGUCCUUUCCAGUGUGGGUUAUUCUAUGAUUUUAUGAUUUCCAAACUGUAAAGAUUUAUACUUUCUCAUGUUGUUUGAUCGUUUGCUUUUAAUACAUCUCUUCAUCUGCUGAAUAAUGCAGGUAGAUUUUGGAUUUUCUCAUGACUUUGCCCCACCAAAGUAGCUAACUAGGGUGAAGUCCAUUAAUUGAUAUCACUCAAUUAAUUAUUCUGAGAACUCAGAACCUGGUUUCUGGCUCUGUCUUCUGAAAGGAAAAUCUGUGUUGUUUGUUUGAUUGCUCCUCAAGCUGCAUGUGCCUUCCCAGGCUUUGAAGCUAUGCCCAUCACUGCAGAACAUGAGAUGACUGAUAACGCCCUUCUCAUUCACAGAACAGACACUGUUCAGCAACAACAUGUUUUGGCCUAAAAAGUGGUGUUUGAGACCUGAUACGUAAUCUAUGAAUUCGUCCAAUCUGGUCAGUGCCCCUUGCUUUGGUGUUCUUAAGAUAUAGAUGCACAUCCACUCAGAAAAUCACUGCUGCCCCAGGCAGUGGCCAGGCCAUCUCUAUCAGCUCUUGGUCACUGGGAACGUUUCAAAGUUGCUCUGGAAACAGAAGGCUCUGAAACUACACAGUGUUAUUCCCAUGAACAACGCACUGCCCUACAGUUUGCUCUGUUCACAGCCAGCUACUCUUCUAUUAGACUCUUUUUUUUUAUUAUUAUUAUUUGCCCACAAAUUUUGUUAUACUUUCUUGUAAGCAGUCAAAAUUCAAGUUUUGUUGAAAUCAGCAAUAAAAAUUCUGAAGCAAAAAAUACCAAUAAAUCUAGUUAUUUAGCCAAUAAACAGAGGUAGGCUAAACUAGUAUGCUCUGAUCCCUGUGCAGCAGUGCCAAGCAGGUGGCCAUACACAAUUUAGCUCACUGACGAUUGCCUGCAGUGUGACCAACGCAUGGCAGUCCUUGGUGCAGACACAUCCAGGAGCAGCUGGCCGAGGGCAUUCCCUGGGUAUUUUGGGGCAUGGUCCUGGCACCUGUUCUCCAAUGAAUUGUUCUUUAUCACUUUAAUAAACCGGGAUAUACAUUCUUACAUUUUGGCUUCUAAAAUUCCCGUGAAACCACUGAAAGCUGAGCAUGCGGUGGAAGACUGUAUGUAGGAAUGUUCAGCUUCUGUUGGACAUUCUUGAUGGGAAUCUCCUUUAGUGAACACUGAGAUGUAUGAACAACAAGCCUUUCACCGAUACCCUGAAGUUGCAGGCAAAAGCCACUGUCUUAAAAAAGAAAGGGAUUAGGCUAGCUGGAUGUUUUGGUUGGUAAAGGAGUUGAAAAACAUUAUUUAUUUCAGCAUGAACUCACCGGACCUCUGCCCCUGUUUUCACUGCAGAGAGACACAGGAUGGAUUCAUUUUGAUUCUGUUCUCAGGCGAUGGUAAGAGGAUCGUCUCUGUUGAAUAGCCCUGACUGUUGUGACACCAAGUGUCCUCCACUAGCACAGAGCCCUGUUUGUUCCCCCAGCCCCAGCGACACGCUGGGUCAGACUCCCUCCAUUGGGGCUGCACGCAUUCGGCAGAUCUUUUCACCAUCAGUGGGGUUCAGGGGGGACGCAACGUGGCUGACACUGGGACUACAGACCCUGGGCAGCUGGGGAGCAAUGAUGGUGGGCCCAGCAGGGCAAUGCCCCCUCCUGCCAGUUUCCUUCUCUGAGCAACCUGUUCAUCGGGGUCCGUGUAGGUGUGCAAUGCUGUGUGACCGUGGAUUUUUGCACCCAACCUCUGUGCGCAUUGUUGACUGCAGUGGCACCACUGCUGCAGCACAUUUUCAAAGAGAACUGAAGAAAACAAAAAGCUACAUGUACUGGUAUUCCUCUUUAAUUUAAUAUCAUCUUACAAGGUGGAAAUUAAAAUGAUUUUUUCUGUCACCGUUAUCUCACUUCACUUGGCGAUGAUCGAUUUCCUUCUCCCCUACUGCUUACUAAUAAGACAUCUGAACACUGAGAUGGUUUUUGUGUUUACUUCCUUGUUUAAAUCAGCUUCCCCAGCUAAGGACAGCCUUGGCACUACAUCUGCUCCGCAACUUGUGAUUUCUGCGUUGGCUCCACGCUGACAGAAUGUCAGGCAUGGAGAGGUAUAUAUUUUUAAUUACUCGGGGAUGCCCCUGUGUAUAAGUACAGGCAAAUUAACUAAGCACAGUCCAAAACCUGCUCCUAGCAGCGCUCACAUGUUACACACACACACACAUUUCAGGCACCGAGCCUCACCUCUUGGGGCUGACGCAUGGAGAGAUGGUGGCAGGUGACAACGACACCUUUCUACAAAUGGAACGCUGAUGUCCAGGGAGAGGAAUAGACAAAAGUCAGCAUCGCUGAUGUCUGAAAGAAUCUGGUGCUUGCUUCCAGAAAUCAGCGAUCCUUCGCAGAGGUGGGGGUAUGGCAGUGAGCACGGCUGCUGCCUGGGGUCUGGGCACCGUGCUGUGAGCUCCUCGCACCCUGCUAGCAUGGCAGCUCCAGCCCUGAUGGAGUUAUUGCGACAGACUAAAAAUGCUCAGUGAACAUCUCGCAGUUUAAGGAGAAAAUACCAAAAGGGAAGGGAAGGAAACUUGGCCAUAUGCACAUCGCAGGCGAGGAACCAUGGAAAGAUGGGGCCGAGGCUCUGGAGCUGAGUGCUGCUGUGGAGCUGAGUAAUAGGCUCUGCAGUGCAUGCUCUCGGGACGUCAUCCCACACCUUUUGGACGUUUUGCUGUCUGUGGCAUCUCCUUACCAAAUGUGUUUUGUGUCGCCCCAGCUGAAAUCUCUGUGUUCAGCAUUAGUCAGUUUUUAUCUCUGGGAUCUUCACACCCCAAGACCUACACAGUGCUGUCCUAUCUCCUUCCUCUCAAACUUCAUUGUCCUUCGCUUACCCUGUUUCUCUAAGCGGAAAUUUUGGUGUUUCCUUCUCCCUCUUGGCAAAGCUGCUCUUGCUCUUCUCAGGAAGACAACACCUUAAGGUUUCUUUCAGCCCUAUCCUAAACAGUUUCACGAUUUUCUUCACAACGAUCUCUGUAGCAACACCACCUCACCCACAGCUGGGCUGUACCGGGUCCCUUCCCACAUGCAGACCCCGUGGGGGGACCCCACACCACGGCCGGGUCCCGGCCCUGGGCAGAGGCACCCGCGGCACUGCAGGGACCGGGCCGGGAGG
ensembl:lncRNA